UUUACAUCUGAAUAGUAAUAUGAGAAAAGAAGGUCAGGUUAUGCAAAGGACUACCAUGACGAGCAUCAAAACAGACUACAGAGGCAAAAGUACAAGAAAGCAAGACAUCGGCGAUCACAACUGACUCAAAAACACACCCUCUCAGCACUAUAACAACGCGUGUGAAUGUUGUCACCAAAUACAUUUUUCCAUCACAGUAUGCUUGGUACCUUGCCAUGGAGGCACCGUUUGACUUCAUUCUUGUAUGUAGGCAUUACAUUAAAUGAAAAAAGAGCUGACGAUUGAAAAGAUACGUUUAAAAUAAGAAUUGGAUUUUGGACAUAUGUAAGGUUACAACAUCGAAAAAUUCAUACUUGUAUGCAUAUUUUAUCAUUGUCAAUUCUUGGAAUAUCCCCUUACUUUAGAAAGACAUGUCCUCAGAAAAUGGUGGUGCACAGUACUGCUUGAGAACUUCCACCUGGAUGGGCACGGCAGAAGGUUCCCACACUUCAUGGAGGAGGCCAAACAAAUGGCGGCUGGACUACUUCCACCAGUCUUCAGACUGAAGCGAAAAAGAGAAUGAGUUGGAGCUGAUGGCAGUCAGCAUGAAGAAGCUAUAUCUUUAAACUUCUGUAGAUUAUUUGUUA